UUUUUAUAAAGAGGCGCUGAGAGAUAGGCUCUGCGACGCGCCGGCACCCGUAAGAAGGCGUUAGCCAACCCCCGCCCCGCGCGGAACGGUGCCAACCGAACCGGCUGCCAAACUAUGGCGGCCCCUAUAAAAG
rnacentral:ncRNA from 2 species